GACGAACGCUGGCGGCGUGCUUAACACAUGCAAGUCGAACGGAAAGGCCCUGCUUUUGUGGGGUGCUCGAGUGGCGAACGGGUGAGUAACACGUGAGUAACCUGCCCUUGACUUUGGGAUAACUUCAGGAAACUGGGGCUAAUACCGGAUAGGAGCUCCUGCUGCAUGGUGGGGGUUGGAAAGUUUCGGCGGUUGGGGAUGGACUCGCGGCUUAUCAGCUUGUUGGUGGGGUAGUGGCUUACCAAGGCUUUGAGGGGUAGCCGGCCGGAGAGGGUGACCGGCGAAACGGGAAGGGAGAGAGGGGCCAGACGAAUAAGGGAGGCAGCAGGAGGGAAUCGGCCGCAAGGGGCGAGAGCGUGACGGAGAAGCGUGGGGUGAGUGAUGAAGGGGCGCGGAGCGGAAAAAGCGGGGAGGAGGGAAGAACAAAUGGGGAAGUAAAUGUGCAGGUAGGGACGGUAAAUAAUAAGAAAGACACGGCUAACUAAGGG
rnacentral:rRNA from 1 species